UCUGGAUGUUGGUGUUUUCCAGGGUCGCACAUAAAGUCCUAUAGUGUUUUUGGAAAGUUGAGAGAAUAAUCUUCGAGAUUUCCCUCUCAUACUCACACUACAGUUAAUAAUUUUUUUUUUGCAGAGCCACCCAGCAGUAACGACUUGUCCUGCAUCAUUCAAGCUUUUGUAGGACCCGUAAAUGUUAAGAAAACUCUGAAGGUUCAUGCGAGUUCUUCUCACUAGUAGUUGCCCUGGUUUGCUGUUACGCAUAUGAUGUAUGCUUAGGUGAUGUAAAUUCCAGAAGAGAAAGUUGUGUUUUCACCUUCUGUCAAGACUUGCAGUAGGAGCUGGACAUCUUUAUUCCUCAGAGAUUCCCUGGUGUGCUGGGUACCUCAGAGCAAAAUUCCCAUCCUCCUCCUGUUGCCCUUUUCCCAGCAAUUACUAUUUGGAUUUUCCAUGAAUCACUUAGAGGUUCAAGUAUUUAAUCAUGUCAUAGGAUUUUAAGAGAACCUGUUGGGUAGAUUCGGCUUGUGUGCUGUAGAUGCUAACGUGACCUGUGGGCAGAACCAGCACGUCUAAGGCGUUCGUCAGGGCAUUCAGAACUAUGCAGCACUGAUACAGCAACAAAUUAAUGAGGACAAACAAAACUUGAGAGAAAAGACUGUGUAUGGAAUCCAGCUCACAGAAGAAAAACUUAAUGACUUCCGUGAUGAACAGAUUGGGCAGCUGAAGGAACUGA